rnacentral:rRNA from 1 species
CGCAGCCGCGGGAAUACGAAGGGUGCAAGCGUUAAUCGGAAUUACUGGGCGUAAAGCGUGCGUAGGCGGCUUGGUAAGUUAGAGGUGAAAGCCUGGAGCUCAACUCCAGAAUUGCCUUUAAGACUGCCGAGCUAGCAGGUGAGAGAGGUAAGUGGAAUUCCGAGUGUAGAGGUGAAAUUCGUAGAUAUUCGGAAGAACACCAGUGGCGAAGGCGGCUUACUGGCUCAUACUGGACGCUGAGGUGCGAAAGCGUGGGGAGCAAACAGGAUUAGAUACCCCUGUAGUCCCUGUCUCUUAUACA